rnacentral:rRNA from 1 species
GACGAACGCUGGCGGCGUGCCUAAUACAUGCAAGUAGAACGCUGAAGAGAGGAGCUUACUCUUCUUGGAUGAGUUGCGAACGGGUGAGUAACGCGUAGGUAACCUGCCUUGUAGCGGGGGAUAACUAUUGGAAACGAUAGCUAAUACCGCAUAACAAUGGAUGACACAUGUCAUUUAUUUGAAAGGGGCAAUUGCUCCACUACAAGAUGGACCUGCGUUGUAUUAGCUAGUAGGUGAGGUAAUGGCUCACCUAGGCGACGAUACAUAGCCGACCUGAGAGGGUGAUCGGCCAAACUGGGACUGAGACACGGCCCAGACUCCUACGGGAGGCAGCAGUAGGGAAUCUUCGGAAAUAGGGGCAACGCUGACCGAGCAACGCCGCGUGAGUGAAGAAGGGUUUCGGAUCGUAAAGCUCUGUUGUAAGUCAAGAACGGGGGUGAGAGUGGAAAGUUCACACUGUGACGGUAGCUAACCAGAAAGGGACGGCUAACUACGUG